AGGGCCACAUAUUCUAACAUUUCCCCAUUGAACAAGAGGGUUGAGCUUUAUGCUAUAGCAUCCUGAGCGACUAUGAGCUUUAUGCUCCUCAGCCAGGGCAGCGUGCUUAUGAUCCGUUCCCGAAUGGGUUCGGCUUGACGCUGGAUGCGUUAGAGGUGGGACUUUGAUUCCCCCUACAUCCUAUGAUCGAGGCCUGCCUUGCUCGAUGGUGGAUCUCGCCAUUGUAGAUGGCACUGAACUCGUGACACCAUCUGGUAGCUUUCCUAGGGGAGUGUCGAGGGGCGGGGGUUAUCCCGACCCGCUCACUCUUCUUCUCGUGCUUCCGCCUUUCCAAAGGGGUAGGCGACUACUGGCUGUCAUCCGGAGGAGGUUUUCGGGUGAGUGGGGCUCCUUCCAACAAUAAGGGGUGGAAGAGUUGAUUUUUUUUAUCAGCUAUAGUCGAGGCUGGGACUUCGACCUUCGAUGGUCAUCUCGAUCGAUCGAUAAUUCUCUUCCAGGCUUGUCUAAUGAUGAGCAUGAGCAGCUCGGUCGCUUGAAGGAGGUCCUUUCUUCUUCCCGGGCAAUUAGGGACAUAAUCAAGGAGUGACUGGUCGAAGCGGAGCUUAGUCCGACUCCUCGAGGAAUGGUGAAUUUGAAGGAGUUGAGAGGGAUGCCUCGUGCUUCCUCAGCCCCUCGGGCUUCAGAGCUGGACCUGCCGGCCUCGGGGGGUCAGGAGUGACCUUCGGGGUUGGGGCCCGAACAGCCAUGCAAGAAGUCUAAGGUCUUGACCCGCAAGAGACCUGCGCCGACCGCAACGCAGGAGGCGUCUGGCGAGGCCGGGAAGCGUCUUCGCGAGGCUUCUUCGAGCAGAGCGGCCGGAGGGAGCGCUCGGGGCAAAGCCCAUGCCGAUCCUCGAGGGGAAUCGACGAGAUCUGCGUGGACUCGAGAUCUCUGUGGUACUCGGGCACGGGCCAACGUCGAGCCCUUCCAAUCGCUCUUCAUGGGGGACUUGCCUGACGGGGAGGGAACUACUCCCCUUGAGCCGCGCUGGUCGGGGCUGACGCUCGACGAUCGGAUUUGGGCGGACGAUGCUUCCUAUGGUGCUUAUCUCUGAGGUGCCCUUAUCCCUGCAAUCGCAAAGCAUGUGUAUAGCUUGCCUUCCGAGGUGCUGAUUGAUAAGUCCGCCAAGUCCUUGGUAUAGGUAGGUGUAUUGCUUUGUUAUCGAGGCUAUAGAUCGGGAAGGCUAGGUGUAUUGCUUUGUUAUCGAGGCUAUAGAUCGGGAAGGCUUGCCCCGACUCCUCCUGUUGAUCA